rnacentral:tRNA from 1 species
GCGGAUGUAGCUCAGCUGGUUAGAGCGUCUGCCUGUCACGCAGAAGGCCGCGGGUUCAAGUCCCGUCAUUCGCGCCA